UCUUUUCUAGUUUCGUAGCGCUGAGCAAGAAAAUAUAGCCUGAAGCUUGUUGACCGCACGCACGUUCCCAACCGCACAUACGAACAACUUUAGCAUCAAGUUGUCGAGAUUUUGCAAUUCGAACGGGACGAAUUGUACACGCCGAGUGCUCGCUGCAAAUUCAUGAAGUCGAUCAAGUAAAUUAGUUCUACCGAGUGAAAUCGAACAGAUCUCAAGGAUUUGCUAGUUCUUCAGGAGUUCAUCCCAGCGAAUAAAUUAUCGUAAAGUGAGACGUGAUUUAACAUCUUCCUACUUCGAGGCAUUCGGUUUGAUCGUUUUUGGUGCGCUUGGAGAUGCCUCAAGUUUUAUUGCCCAAGCCGAGAGAGUCUAGCUGUUUUUCCGUUCGUUCUCGCAACUGCAAUUGCUUUCUGGCCAGCAUUCAUGCUUUGAUUUACAGCGUACAAUCAUAGAAUAGCCGAGAUUGCCUGAAGAAGAGUCCAGGUCUGGUAAUUGUAGUGGAAACGUGAAGUUAUGGACUUUAGUCGCACCGCAUGUGUGUGCACGAUGCAAAAGGAAGACGUGCUGCAGAUGCAACGAGGCAUCUGCCCAUCACGCACGCAGCUGGUCAGUCAUCAUGGUCGUCAUGGGCGUGGGUCUUGGAAUUUAAUUUUUUAAUUAAAGUACGUCGAGAAUAUUGUCUUUUUUUUCUUACUCAACCAAUUUUAGAGUAAAGUAAAUAAGUCUUUCAAUCUUAGGUUCAUUGCUCUAAGAUGUUAAAAGUUGAUUGAUGAUCAACCAAAACAUAUUUACUUCCUACAAAUAGUACGCCCCUGCAAUUAAGUAACAAUGACUUUAUUUAUGAAGCAAACUCUAAACUCUUACGAAUGCCAGGUCGUAAUUCCAAUUGCAAUACUUCUAUAGGUAUAAUUAUUAUUUUGUUAUGUUGUUAUUCGUAUUUACAUCUGUAUGAACAAUCAUUGUGCGUGUAAACGAAAUAAAAAAUAAAUUGAACAAAUCAA